UGGCGAAGGCGGCCCCUGGACGAAGACUGACGCUCAGGUGCGAAAGCGUGGGGAGCAAACAGGAUUAGAUACCCUGGUAGUCCACGCUGUAAACGAUGUCGAUUUGGAGGUUGUGCCCUUGAGGCGUGGCUUCCGGAGCUAACGCGUUAAAUCGACCGCCUGGGGAGUACGGCCGCAAGGUUAAAACUCAAAUGAAUUGACGGGGGCCCGCACAAGCGGUGGAGCAUGUGGUUUAAUUCGAUGCAACGCGAAGAACCUUACCUACUCUUGACAUCCAGAGAACUUAGCAGAGAUGCUUUGGUGCCUUCGGGAACUCUGAGACAGGUGCUGCAUGGCUGUCGUCAGCUCGUGUUGUGAAAUGUUGGGUUAAGUCCCGCAACGAGCGCAACCCUUAUCCUUUGUUGCCAGCGGUUCGGCCGGGAACUCAAAGGAGACUGCCAGUGAUAAACUGGAGGAAGGUGGGGAUGACGUCAAAUCAUCAUGGCCCUUACGAGUAGGGCUACACACGUGCUACAAUGGCGUAUACAAAGAGAAGCGACCUCGCGAGAGCAAGCGGACCUCAUAAAGUACGUCGUAGUCCGGAUUGGAGUCUGCAACUCGACUCCAUGAAGUCGGAAUCGCUAGUAAUCGUAGAUCAAAAUGCUACGGUGAAUACGUUCCCGGGCCUUGUACACACCGCCCGUCACACCAUGGGAGUGGGUUGCAAAAGAAGUAGGUAGCUUAACCUUCGGGAGGGCGCUUACCACUUUGUGAUUCAUGACUGGGGUGAAGUCGUAACAAGGUAACCGU
rnacentral:rRNA from 1 species